rnacentral:lncRNA from 1 species
AUGAGCUGGCACAGAGCUGGAGGAAGCUGCUUCACUGCUGCAACACUGGGCUGCCCACUGUUUGGUCCUGCUACCUCCCACUGCAUCUAUUGCUUAAUGAAACAACUGCAUGAUGAGCUGCUACCAGUACCUUCAAAGCACUUCCUCGUGGAUUUAAUCAAUCCCUACAAUGACAACAAGACAAAGUUUCACAAACGUGCAUCUGGACACGUCCCUUCAUGGCACGCCAGCACCUUGGUGAGGCUGCAGUGCAUCAUCUCUGCGCGGGACAAGGCAUGGAGCCAGAUAAUCAGUUUGGCCAUCCAAAAUGGAAAGGGGAAGAAAAGAAAGGUUUGA